UACAGAGGGGGCAAGCGUUGUCCGGACUUACUGGGCGUAAAGGGUGCGCAGGCGGUCUGAUGCGUCGUCGCUGAAAGCUCUCGGCUCAACUGAGAGAGGCGUGGCGAUACGAGCAGACUCGAGUCUCUGAGAGGGUGGCGGAACUCCUGGUGUAGUGGUGAAAUGCGUAGAGAUCGGCAGGAACACCCAGGGGGAAACCAGCCGACUGGGCACAUGCUGACGCUGAGGUGCGAGAGCGUGGGGAGCGAACCGG
rnacentral:rRNA from 1 species